rnacentral:rRNA from 1 species
AGAGCGAACGCUGGCGGCAUGCCUAACACAUGCAAGUCGCACGGUCCGGGGGCAACCUCGGGCAGUGGCGGACGGGUGAGUAACGCGUGGGAACGUACCUUUUGGUUCGGAACAACCCAGGGAAACUUGGGCUAAUACCGGAUAAGCCCUUACGGGGAAAGAUUUAUCGCCGAAAGAUCGGCCCGCGUCUGAUUAGCUAGUUGGUGAGGUAAUGGCUCACCAAGGCGACGAUCAGUAGCUGGUCUGAGAGGAUGAUCAGCCACAUUGGGACUGAGACACGGCCCAAACUCCUACGGGAGGCAGCAGUGGGGAAUAUUGGACAAUGGGCGCAAGCCUGAUCCAGCCAUGCCGCGUGAGUGAUGAAGGCCCUAGGGUUGUAAAGCUCUUUUGUGCGGGAAGAUAAUGACGGUACCGCAAGAUAAGCCCCGGCUAACUUCGUGCCAGCAGCCGC